CACAAAAUCCCACCCGCAAACCUUCCGUCCUCCAUACUACUUCAAAAAGCAUGCACCUAAUACCCAAUCUUAUCCUUCUCCACGACCAAACCAUCCUCAGCAAACCUUUCACAGUUUCACGGUGGCUGCCUCUCAUGCACUCAUGCAGAUUCAUCUACCUCUCAUAAUUCUCCUGACUGAAUCAUUUAUCAUCUUUAUAUGAUUUUGCUGUUCCAACAUCCAGUUCAAGUCCAGAUAUUUCUCCAUCUCCACCUCGCUUCUUCAUUACCCGCGCCUAUAGUUCCUCUUGCCUCUCAGAUAUCCCAUCCUAUGAUCACUCGGUCUCAAACAGGCCAUCUCAAGCCCCGCACCUUCCCUGAGUAUAACACAUUCUACUCCACAAAACAUCCUCUUAAGGCUCUCACCAGUAUAAAAAUGUCAAUUGAACCUCUUUUCUUACAAACAAGCCUCAUUGCAUACUGAAUACUGCACGACUAUGCAAGAAAAAUAUGAUGCUCUGAUUGCAAACCGUAUGUGGAUUCUCUCCACUCGAUCAUUGAAUCAUAAUGUUGUUGAUAACAAAUAGGUCUACAAGGUUAGACAAACUUCUCAUGGUCAGGUUGAUUGACUUAAAGCCCGAUUAGUGGCUAAAGGUUUUGAACAAGAAUGUGGUAUAGAUUUCACUGAGACAUUCAGUCCAGUUGAUUAUUAAACCUUCCACAAUUCGAGUUAUUCUUGCUCUUGCUGUUCACUUUGAUUGGAAUAUACGAAAAUUGGAUGUUUCUAAUCCUUUCUUGCAUGGUGUUUUACAAGAGGAAGUCUAUAUGAAGCAACCUCAAGGCUUUGUUCAUCCAGAUUUUCCUAUCUAUGUUUGCAAGCUUGAGAAGUCCUUAUGUGGACUCAAAUAAGCCCCACGGGCUAGGUUCAUACGCCAUCUCAGUCUCUACUUCAGUUUGGAUUUAUUUCCUCACCGGUGGACUCUUCAUUAUUUAUUUAUCAUCAAGGAAAUAUUCACUUGUUCUUUCUCAUCUAUGCGGAUGAUAUUCUCGUGACAGGCACGCAUCCUUCUCUUAUUGCUUCUUUUCUUGCCAAGUUGCAACUGGAAUUCAAAGUGAAGGAUCUUGGUUCAUUAAAUUAUUUUCUUGGCAUUCAAGCUCAUCGAGACUCUAAGGGCUUACACCUCCGACAAUCAAAAUACACUGGUGAUCUUCUCCAUCGCACUAAGAUAAUUGGUGCUAAGCCUUAUCCCUCACCAUGCUCCCCGGGACUUAAGCUUUCAGCUCAUAAUGGUGAACCACUCUUGACAACUCAAAUUACGUACUGAGUAUCGCCAAACUGUUGGUGCACUAAAAUAUUGCACAUUGACUCAUCCGGAUAUUGCUUUCUCAGUUAACCAACUUUGCCAACAUAUCCAUUGUCCAAGAUUCACUCACUGGUCUGUUGCUAAGCGGGUUCUCUGUUACCUCGAAGGAACAAUUGACAAUGGCUUAUGAUAUAAAAAAGGAUCUCUUACUCUUCAAGCCUAUUGCGACUCCGAUUGGGCUGGUAAUCAUGAUGAUCUUCGUUCAACUACAUGUUAUGGUAUAUUUCUUGGUUCAUGUUUACUGUCAAAGACUGCUGAGAAACAAAAGGCUGUAGCACACUCCAACACUGAGGCGGAGUAUCAGGCUCUAGCAAUCACCACAGCGGAACUCUAUUGGGUUAGAAUGCUUCUCAAAGAACUCUGUAUACCGCUCCCUAUCCCUCCCACAAUUUGGUGUGACAACAUUGGUGCUUUGGCUUUAGCUUCUAAUCUUGUAUUAAUUUCAUGCUAGAACCAAGCAUAUCGAAGUGGACUGCCAUUUUAUCCGUUAGAAAGUUCUAAAUAAAGAUAUUACACUCAAGUUUAUUUGUUCCCAAGAUCAUAUUGUUGAUGUUUUUACAAAAGGAUUAAGCACCAGUCGCUUUUUUGAGCUUCGGAACAAGCUGCAAGUAUGUCUACCCCCUUCAAGCUUGUAGGGGGAUGUUAAGCAAGAGACUCAGUCCACUCUCAACACAGCAGACUUGUCGCUAACGCCGGCUCCAACAUCUGCAACAUUAACCUUUUCCCUUGUCGGCUCCAACAUCCUGAUUUCCUUUUAAACUUUGCUUCUGCAUAUCUUGUACUCAAUAUCUGAUGUUUAUUUCAAAUGUAUUCUUGUCAUUGUAAUUGUAACAACCUGAGCUGUAUAAAUAAACCAAUACACGGAGUGGUUUGGUAUGGAGGCUAGAACCCUUUGUUCGUA